GUAUAUUGCAUUUUCAAGUUCAAAAAUUAAAAAUAUUAUUGCAUAAAAAUAAUGCACUUUUCUUUCUCUUUCCACAAGUUACCUCCAACAGAUUAUUAAAGGUAGGUGGAAAUUUUAUUUAGAGCAUGAUGAACCCAGCCGUUAGCAGGAAGGCGGCACAACAACGUCAGCGGCGCACCUACAGAGUGAGAAGAGAUAUUUUCGCUGAGUACGACGAUGCUGAGUUACUGAAAAGAUUCAGAUUGGACCGUGCUGGUAUUGUUGCAGUGACUGAUAUAGUGAGAGACAAGCUGCAAAGUAAAACUGAAAGAAAUAGAGCCUUGACCCCUGAGAUGGUGGCCAUCACAUUACGAUAUUUAGCCACAGGAAAAAUGCAACAGUGCAGUUGUGAUGAUUUUGGAACAACGCAGCCCACUAUCAGCCGUGCAAUAUCACAGACAAUUGAUGCACUGGCUGACCCAGAAGUAAUCUGCCAGUUCGUGGCUUUCCCUCACACCCAGCGUGAAGUGCAGCAAAAACAGGCAGAGUUCAUGCAAGUAACUCAGUUUCCCGGUGUUGUGGGAGUGAUUGAUGGUACUCAUAUAAGAAUUGUGUCUCCUCAUGUCGAUGAACAUGUAUAUGUGAACAGGAAACGCUAUCACAGCAUAAAUGUGCAAGUAGUAUUUGAUGCUCACUAUAAGAUUCUUGACAUUGUGGCAAGGUGGCCUGGCUCAGUCAACGAUGCAAGAAUACUAGAUAAGUCAGCACUCAAACUGAUGUUUGAGGAACAACAUGUACCUGCAGGAUGCUACCUUCCCGGGGACAGUGGCUAUCCCUGUAAGCAGUGGCUCCUCACUCCUUACCUUCGCCCUCAAACUGUUGCACAAGCUAAUUAUAACAGUUCCAGUACCUUACGAUGCAGCCGAGGGGACUGACGCCACCACCACCACUGCCACCACCGCCACAACAAGGGUUAUUCAAAUGGGGAACAUGCUUCAGGUGUUGCCCCAAGAUGCCUCAGCCCCGCAGCCCCACUUCCCUAUGAUAGUGCAGGCAGGGAAUGUCAUACAGGUUGUUCCAGCUGACAACACGCAGGUAUUAGGGGCAGAAGUCGUUGGAGUUGGUCGGGUCAUGCAAGUGGUCGGAGUCCCAGGCUUUCCCCCGACCCCAGCCCCAGACCCCUGCCCCAGCCACCCCUCUCCCUGUGACCCCUGCCCAGUCAUCCCUCACCCCCUCCUGCCCCCCUGCGGUGCUGCCAGCGGGGGUGAUGGGAGGUGGAGGUGGGCCACACACACCUGGGUUAGCUGUGGCUUGGCUUAUCUCCCUCCUCAGCAGCAAAUCCCGAGGAUCAACGAGGACAUGGUGGACCCAGAGAUUGCAGCAGCAGCAAGAGAGAGAGAGAGAAGCAAGAGAGGAGGGAGAGGAAGGAGAGGAGGAGGAGAGAGAGGGAGGCCAGGAGGGAGGCACGUCAGAGAGAGAGGGAGAGGAAGAGGUUGAUUCUGUUACAACAACAACUGCAACAACAACAACAGUUAGUCAGUGAGGAGGGGGAGGGGCCGUCCUCUGAUGCUGAGGAUGAGGUAUUGUUCAGGGAGGCCAUGUCGGAGGUGCCGGUGGUGGGGUCGCCAGUUCCGGAGUACGAGGUGGAGGAGGAAAAGGAAGAGGAGGACGAGGAGGAGGCACGGAUAAGGAAGAAGAAAAGAUUAUUACCUGUAGCCCUCCCUCCAGCUGAUAAGGGGAUAUUAAGGAGCCCUUCCUACAGGUGUGUCUGUCUACCUGUGUGUCUCUUUCUAUCUCUCCUUUUCAUUUUUCCAGUUUCCCAUUAUUUUCUCCACCCUCUCACUGUCUUUUCUCAGCCUCUCACAACCUGUCACACCCUCUCCCAGCUAUUCACAGCCACUCACAGCCUCUCUCUCUCACUCUAUCUCAUUCCCAGUGUAUCCAGACCAUUCCAGACUUACCCCAAACUGUCCCCAAGACUUCCAGUCCAUCCCAACUUCUCACAGCCUCUUCCAGCCUUUCACAGCCUCUCUCUCUCUCUCUCUCUCUCUCUCUCUCUCUCUCUCUCUCUCUCUCUCUCUCUCUCUCUCUCUCUCUCUCUCUCUCUCUCUCUCUCUC